rnacentral:rRNA from 1 species
CUACGUGCCAGCAGCCGCGGUAAUACGUAGGGUGCGAGCGUUAAUCGGAAUUACUGGGCGUAAAGCGGGCGCAGACGGUUACUUAAGCAGGAUGUGAAAUCCCCGGGCUCAACCUGGGAACUGCGUUCUGAACUGGGUGACUAGAGUGUGUCAGAGGGAGGUAGAAUUCCAUGUGUASCAGUGAAAUGCGUAGAGAUGUGGAGGAAUACCGAUGGCGAAGGCAGCCUCCUGGGAUAACACUGACGUUCAUGCCCGAAAGCGUGGGUAGCAAACAGGAUUAGAUACCCUGGUAGUCCACGCCCUAAACGAUGUCGAUUAGCUGUUGGGCAGCUUGACUGCUUAGUAGCGAAGCUAACGCGUGAAAUCGACCGCCUGGGGAGUACGGUCGCAAGAUUAAAACUCAAAGGAAUUGACGGGGACCCGCACAAGCGGUGGAUGAUGUGGAUUAAUUCGAUGCAACGCGAAGAACCUUACCUGGUCUUGACAU